GGCCGCCUGGCGAAAUGGCAUCGCGUCUGACUACGAAUUAGGAGAUUUCAGGUUCGACCCCUAUGGUGGUCA
rnacentral:tRNA from 1 species